UACGUAGGGCGCAAGCGUUGUUCGGAAUUACUGGGCGUAAAGGGCGCGUAGGCGGCCUUCUAAGUCGAACGUGAAAUCCCCGGGCUCAACCCGGGAACUGCGUCCGAGACUGGGAGGCUAGAAUCCGGGAGAGGGAUGUGGAAUUCCAGGUGUAGCGGUGAAAUGCGUAGAUAUCUGGAGGAACAUCGGUGGCGAAGGCGGCAUCCUGGACCGGUAUUGACGCUGAGGCGCGAAAGCCAGGGGAGCAAACGGG
rnacentral:rRNA from 1 species